AUUGAACGCUGGCGGCAGGCCUAACACAUGCAAGUCGAGCGGAGCGGCGGACGGGUGAGUGAUGCCUAGGAAUCUGCCUGGUAGUGGGGGAUAACGUCCGGAAACGGACGCUAAUACCGCAUACUCUCGGAUGAGCCUAGGUCGGGUUAGCUAGUUGGUGGGGUAAAGGCCUACCAAGGCGACGAUCCGUAACUGGGCUGAGAGGAUGAUCAGUCACACUGGAACUGAGAAACGGUCCAGACUCCUACGGGAGGCAGCAGUGGGGAAUAUUGGACAAUGGGCGAAAUCCUGAUCCAGCCAUGCCGCGUGUGUGAAGAAGGUCGUCGGAUUGUAAAGCACUUUAAGUUGGGAGGCGUUACCAACAGAAUAAGCACCGGCUAACUCCGUGCCAGCAGCCGCGGUAAUUC
rnacentral:rRNA from 1 species